rnacentral:rRNA from 1 species
UACGUAGGGGGCAAGCGUUGUCCGGAUUUAUUGGGCGUAAAGGGCGCGUAGGCGGCACUGCAAGUCAGUUGUGAAAUCUCCGGGCUUAACCCGGAAAGGUCAACUGAUACUGCAGGGCUAGAGUGCAGAAGGGGCAACUGGAAUUCUCGGUGUAGCGGUGAAAUGCGUAGAUAUCGAGAGGAACACCUGCGGCGAAGGCGGGUUGCUGGGCUGACACUGACGCUGAGGCGCGAAAGCCAGGGGAGCGAACGGG